CAUUUUGUGGUUGUGUUUGGAAUUUCGGAGUUGAAUCCAAACUGGGAGAUUGCGCUGGCCGGUGUGUUCCGAAGAUCCACGUUGUGGGUCAAGAUUUAUUUUAACCGUCUGACAUAUUUCCAAAUAAAAUUUUAGGGCCCCGUCUAGCAGACAUGGGGGGCAACAGCAGCAGCCAUGUCCCGUUUGCGGACGAAGACAACCACGUUAGUUUUGUGAAGGGCAUUAGGCUAACCGACAAAGUCAUCAAUCGAAUGAGGGAGGAGCGCCAGGCCACCAAGAAGAUUGUCCAUCCCCGCUCACAGCAGAAUGGACCUGCUCCCCAGCUCUCAACAGAAGCUAUUGCCCCCACGAUCACACCUGCCCCGACAGUCGACCAUUUGGUUCCACAUCUGGUAGACCCUCCACAUUCUGCUCAACCCUCAUCUCUACCUCUCCCAGUCCAGCCAGUGAAGCUCACACCUCCUCCUCCUGUCACAUUUGUUGCCGCUCCACCUGCGAAACCUAUGGUCCAAGCUUCAGCUGUUGAUUCUGAAGCUCCGCCUCCCCCUUUGAAACCUAUGGUCCAACCUCCGACUGUCGAAUCAGCUGCUCCACCUUCACCUGCAAAAUAUAUGGCCCAAGCUCCAGGUGUUGAGUCUACACCUCCACCCCCACCCGUGAAACCUAUGACCCAAGCUCCGGCUGUAGAAUCUGCUGCGCCACCACUGCCUGAGGAACCAGUGGUCUUAGCUACUCCACUUGUGUCUCCCGUAGAACCUGAGGUUGCAGCGACACCAUCCACUACUUCUGUUGAAACUAAAGUGCUUCCUCAGGUGGCCAAACCCAUAGCAUUGAGCCCAUCGGCAGAAGCCAAGGUCAUUUCUACCCCUCCACCGCCUUCUGCCGAAACUGUUGUGCCGCCUCCACCUUUUGUUGACGCUACAGUCCUGUCGUCCGUGGAUGAGCCUGUUGUCCUAGCUACGCCUGUCCUUGUUGACAAAGUGUUCAUGCCUACGCCUGUCGAACCUACGGUCCCAACUUCAGUAGUCGCAGCUGCAGUAGUCGAGCCGGAUGUUUUUCCUACACCUCCCCCUGUGGUACCUCCUCUAAAGGUAGCACCUCCGCCUGCUGAUGAUGUCCUGCCCAAACCUCCACCGGUAGAGCCUCUUACUGUAUACAGUGCCCCAAUACCAGUAGCUCCAAACCUCCCUGCCCCAGUCGUAGAACACACCUCAGAGCCUAUUGUGGAGAAUCUUCAGGCCCCAACCUGGCAGUCGAUGGAGCUGGCAACACAUGCUUCAACAUCAAUGGCUAAUGAGCAAGCUGACCUUCCUCCCCCUCCUUGCGCAGAACCCACUGACCCCCCGCCUCCCCCGGGCUCUGAAGAACCCACAGUCACCGUUCCACUGCCCCUGCUCGAUGAGGAUGUUGCUUUUCCAACUGUGGCUCCUGUCACGGCCCCCGCAGUGCCAGCUCCACCUUCCGUGGUGGUGGACGAGGAGGAGCUGAGAAGGCAGAUCCGAGCUGAGUUAACCAAAGACCUAGAAGAGGAGAUGAAACGGAAACGGCAGGAGCUUCAGAAACAGCUGGACGAGGUGAAGGCAGCUGCCAGAGUCCAGGCCCAGGCGGCUGCCCAGCUCCGGGUCCAGGAGGAGGUUCAGAAGAUCCACAGUUUGGAGAAGGCAGCCCAGAGUGAUAUCAUGAAGGCAGCGAUCGCUAAAGAACGCAUGACCAAAGAGGAGGAGACACUUAUGGCUCAGCUCUACGCCCACAAGCUUGAGGAGAAAGAAAAGCAGCUGAAGAAACAAGACCUAAUCUACCGGGAACAAAUUGCCAGGCUGGAGGAGAAGAGCGCCCGGUUCUUCAAAGUCACCACGGAGAACUUUAAGAAGGGCAGAGAGGACGUUCACAACACCUUCAAGCAUGUUGACAUCCGGCCAGUGUGUGGUGAUCUGCAGACUCAUGUCCAGCGGUGUUACAGGGAGAAUAGGGGACAGACCCUGGCCUGCUCCGGCCUCGCCAGCCUCUACAUGCAGUGUGUGGAAGGCCACAAAAAGAAACAGCCUGAAAGUGAAACAGAGACACUCAUAGAAUGAGAAGCACUGAGACUGAAAGUGAAAUACACACAGAGACUAAGAGCACAGGAGGUUAGGAGAGCCAUUCUCCCCACCAAUGACACUUCCUUUUUAACUGAAUGGGCAGGAGCCAUCACCCAUGAUCUACUAAAGCCAUUUCAACUGUUCUGAGCGCAGAGCUAGAUGCCCAUGCUCUGCUUUUGGCCAUCUGUCAUGCUACUCAAACUAGCCAUGCACAGGCUACAGACGCAUAUUAUCUACCCUGGUACUGAUGUCGAAGGCGGUCUACAGUCUGGUCUGAGUUAAGGAAGGAGGCACACUUCUGGAUCUUAGGUUACCAGGGUUAAAUGUAGUGACAGUGCUCAUUAUAACAGGAAGUGAUCAGUGUUGCAAUUGUUACACUAUGAGAGGAAUCCAUAUCUCCUGCUCCAAACACGUAUUUCCAAAUGGGACACAAAACGCAUCAUAUAUUCAUAAAUGGGAAAUAAUGGGAUUGAGUGUUCCAUUGACAGAAAUACAAAAUACAAGGAAUGGCCAAGUACUAAAACAUUAUGCACAUAUGCCUUAAUAUCACAUGAACACAUCUCGCCAGUGCCAAAUAUAAUGGGGUGUUUAUUGUUAUAAAACACUAAUUUAUGGUGGUAGAUGCAAGGGUUGUGCCAAAUGACAUCCUAUUCUCUCCUGGGGGUUCUAGGGUACAUAUUCUCAAUAGGGGUCUAGUUAAAAGUAGUACACUAUGUAGAAAAUAGUACCAUUUGGGACAAUCAUACUAGAAAAAAACUAUUCAAAGGUGGCACUUUUUCCUAUUUUUUUGUUUUAUUUCUCCUUUUAUUUUUUAGGUAUGGGUGUGAAAGGGUGUUUCUGAUUUCAAUAAAUUGUUGUGAAACCCCGGAUUUGAAUUUGUGUGGGUUAGUGAUUAGAAUAUAAAUUGGAUAGAGAACUCUUGCUUGGUUAGCGAUGCCCUCGUGUGGACAUGGUUCCAAUUGAAAAUGUACGCAGUUGGAUACAAGAACGUAACAAAUAAACAUACGCAUAGCCGGGUACUUUAGAAUUGUUAUGGUUUCACGUCAUCACAUAGUCGAGGUGUGUGUGUGAAUAUUGUUCUGGCGCCUGUCUGUUGCACUCUAGUGUGGCAAUCUAGAUUGCGCACCUUUUUCUAAUACUGUAUCCUAGGUAGGACAAUCUGUUGCACGUAGGAUUUCCCGGCCACUUGGGAGGGCCCUUUAAGUUUUCAAAGAGAAGACGCAGGCUGUCACAUGAUGGGCACGAUGACAGAAUAGGUACGGGAAAGCGAAGUGCGCCACGGACCACGAAAACGUCAGUAAUGGUUGAGCUAUCGCACGAACGUCCCAGUUUCGUCCAUUCGAUACCGAACGCCAUAGGUGCGGUGGGUGGACCACGCCGUCUCAACUCGUCUGCUGUAGGCUGAAGGAAGACCAGGCACCUGCACAGCGGCUUUGCUGUCUGCUUUCUUUCAAGAAGCAUUAUGCGGAGUCUUCCCUAUAACCCCUGGGCUUCCUGCUUUGCUGUCAGUGCAACAGUGCACUGCUAGACCCCUGUCAUCUGGGAAACGGUACUCUACCAUGUGUGUAGGAAAAAUUGCCAAAUGUGUUAAUAAAGUACAGGCUGUCAUUAAAAUCCAUGUUCUUAUCCUCCCACUUUGUGAAAUAAACUGUAGCAUUUUAUUGUG